UAGGGAAUCUUCCACAAUGGACGAAAAGUCUGAUGGAGCAACGCCGCGUGAGUGAAGAAGGUUUUCGGAUCGUAAAGCUCUGUUGUUGGUGAAGAAGGAUAGAGGCAGUAACUGGUCUUUAUUUGACGGUAAUCAACCAGAAAGUCACGGCUAACUACGUGUCAG
rnacentral:rRNA from 1 species